UUCUAGACUUGGACUGAAUUAUAACACAGGCUUUUCUGGGUCUCCAAUUUGCAGACAGCACAUCAUGGCACUUCUCAGCCUUUAAAAUAUUUGGAAUGUGAAUAUUUACUAUGUACCAAAAUAGUACUGGGAGCUGGAGAUGUAUUUUUCCUGCUCUUCUGGACCAUAUAAGGCAGUGCUAAAGAAGUACGGUGGCCCAGUGUAGACCCCAGGAGGGCAGGUGCCUGGAACUCCAUAAAUGUUUAUGAAUGAAUAAAUGAAUGAAUGGACGACCCUACCAUGACUGCAGAGAUAGGAGAUCAACACUUUUCAUAGCAUCUUUGCACUGCACACGGCCAACGUACCUGCUAUGAUGUUGUCCAGCAGUGUUAUGGGCAUGCAGAAUAUGCCAACUAGUAAGUCACUGAUGGCCAGGUUUAAAAUGAAGAGAU